rnacentral:rRNA from 1 species
GACGAACGCUGGCGGCGUGCCUAAUACAUGCAAGUCGAGCGAAUCUAAAGGUGCUUGCACCUUUUGGUUAGCGGCGGACGGGUGAGUAACACGUGGGCAACCUGCCUGUAAGACUGGGAUAACUUCGGGAAACCGGAGCUAAUACCGGAUAAUCCUUUUCCUCUCAUGAGGAAAAGCUGAAAGUCGGUUUACGCUGACACUUACAGAUGGGCCCGCGGCGCAUUAGCUAGUUGGUGAGGUAACGGCUCACCAAGGCGACGAUGCGUAGCCGACCUGAGAGGGUGAUCGGCCACACUGGGACUGAGACACGGCCCAGACUCCUACGGGAGGCAGCAGUAGGGAAUCUUCCGCAAUGGACGAAAGUCUGACGGAGCAACGCCGCGUGAGCGAUGAAGGCCUUCGGGUCGUAAAGCUCUGUUGUUAGGGAAGAACAAGUAUCGGAGUACUGCCGGUACCUUUGACGGUACCUAACCAGAAAGCCACGGCUAACUACGUGCCAGCAGCCGCGGUAAUACCGUAGGUGGCAAAGCGUUGUCCGGAAUUAUUGGGCGUAAAGCGCGCGCAGGCGGUCCUU